rnacentral:rRNA from 1 species
UACGGGGGGGGGCAAGCGUUGGUUCGGAAUUACUGGGCGUAAAGGGCUCGUAGGCGGCCAACUAAGUCGGAUGUGAAAUCCCCAGGCUUAACCUGGGAACUGCAUCCGAUACUGGAUGGCUUGAAUCCGGGAGAGGGAUGCAGAAUUCCAGGUGUAGCGGUGAAAUGCGUAGAUAUCUGGAGGAACACCGAUGGCGAAGGCAGGUCUCUGGGCCAUUACUGACACUGAGAAGCGAAAGCAUGGGGAGCGAACAGG